rnacentral:rRNA from 1 species
GGGUUGUGAGGUUAAGCGACUAAGCGUACACGGUGGAUGCCCUGGCAGUCAGAGGCGAUGAAGGGCGUGCUAAUCUGCGAUAAGCGCCGGUAAGGUGAUAUGAACCGUUAUAACCGGCGAUACCCGAAUGGGGAAACCCAGUGUGACUCGUCACACUAUCAUUAACUGAAUCCAUAGGUUAAUGAGGCGAACCGGGGGAACUGAAACAUCUAAGUACCCCGAGGAAAAGAAAUCAACCGAGAUUCCCCCAGUAGCGGCGAGCGAACGGGGAGGAGCCCAGAGCCUGAAUCAGCAUGUGUGUUAGUGGAAGCGUCUGGAAAGGCGCGCGAUACAGGGUGACAGCCCCGUACACAAAAGCGCAUGUGCUGUGAGCUCGAUGAGUAGGGCGGGACACGUGGUAUCCUGUCUGAAUAUGGGGGGACCAUCCUCCAAGGCUAAAUACUCCUGACUGACCGAUAGUGAACCAGUACCGUGAGGGAAAGGCGAAAAGAACCCCGGCGAGGGGAGUGAAAAAGAACCUGAAACCGUGUACGUACAAGCAGUGGGAGCACAGGUUUACCU